CAAUGUAGGCAGAAAACCCUAAAGGCACCAAAUCCCAUAAGAUCUGGUAAGUUAAGCAGGGUGAACUCUGGUUAGUACUAGGAUGGGAGACUACCAAUGAAUCCCAGGUGCUAUCUUUU
rnacentral:rRNA from 1 species